ACUCUCGGGGGUAGAGCACUGUUUGGGCUAGGGGGUCAUCCCGACUUACCAAACCCAUGCAAACUCCGAAUACCGAGAAGUGCAAUUACGGGAGACACACGGCGGGUGAUAACGUCCGUCGUGGAAAGGGAAACAACCCAGACCAUCAGCUAAGGUCCCAAAAUUAUGGCUCAGUGGAAAACGAUGUGGGAAGGCCCAGACAGCUAGGAGGUUGGCUUAGAAGCAGCCACCCUUUAAAGAAAGCGUAAUAGCUCACUAGUCGAGU
rnacentral:rRNA from 14 species